UGUGGCUCAGUGAUAGAGUGCUUGCCUUGCAUGCAUGACAUCCUGGGUUCGAUUCCUCAGCA
rnacentral:tRNA from 1 species